rnacentral:lncRNA from 1 species
GCUUUGGAGACCCUCUUUACACCGUGCCCUCUUCAAACGUUUCCACACAUCAGUGAGUAGCAGCACCGCAAUCUUUACUCGACGGCACGCUCUGUGGGCCUAGAAAAUGCCUUGACGUUCGAGCACUUCGGACAGCCGGAUGCGGGUAGCUUGGCCGUUCCUUGCUCUGCGCAUCGCUUGAAAACCGGCGGUCAUCCUGCAGUGUACGCUGCCAGCGUGCUUUCUUGCCAGAGCCGCCUCCCCUGCUGGUGAUGACCAUAUGCAGCCAAUGCUGAUGUGAACCCGAGUGAUGAACAAAUGCAGCAUGCCUGGAAAAGUACUUCAAAGCACACCCCAUCUGGCUGACUGCACUACCUCAAGAAAACUGCCUUUCUUCCAUCUGCAAGUUCCUAAGAAGUUACUUUAUGAAGCAAGCCAGCAGGGCGUACGUGUGAGGCAUGGCAGCAUGGAGAACAAAUAAACAUGAGUAUUUGGUGCAAGAUGCAUUCAUUGAUUUCGUGCUGCAUCAACGUGUGGCUGC